GGGCCCAUAGUAUAAUGGUUAUUAUGUCUGGCUGGCAGUCAGAAGAUUCGAGUUCGAUUCUCGAUGGGUCCA
rnacentral:tRNA from 1 species